rnacentral:rRNA from 1 species
CGCGUAGGCGGGAUGGCAAGUCGGUCGUGAAAUCCCUCGGCUCAACCGAGGAACGUCGAUCGAUACUGCCGUUCUUGAGGGUUGCAGAGGAGACUGGAGUUCCCGGUGUAGCGGUGAAAUGUGUAGAGAUCGGGGGGAACACCGGUGGCGAAGGCGGGUCUCUGGGCAAUUCCUGACGCUGAGGCGCGAAAGCGUGGGGAGCAAACGGGAUUAGAUACCCCGGUAGUCCACGCUGUAAACGAUGACGACUAGGUGUGGGGGGGUUCAGUCCCUUCCGUGCCGCAGCUAACGCAUUAAGUCGUCCGCCUGGGGAGUACGGCCGCAAGAUUGAA